rnacentral:rRNA from 1 species
CGACCGGCGCACGGGUGAGUAACACGUAUCCAACCUGCCGUCUACUCUUGGACAGCCUUCUGAAAGGAAGAUUAAUACAAGAUGGCAUCAUGAGUCCGCAUGUUCACAUGAUUAAAGGUAUUCCGGUAGACGAUGGGGAUGCGUUCCAUUAGAUAGUAGGCGGGGUAACGGCCCACCUAGUCUUCGAUGGAUAGGGGUUCUGAGAGGAAGGUCCCCCACAUUGGAACUGAGACACGGUCCAAACUCCUACGGGGGGCAGCAUG